rnacentral:rRNA from 1 species
AUACGGAGGAUGCGAGCGUUAUCCGGAUUUAUUGGGUUUAAAGGGUGCGCAGGCGGGCUUUUAAGUCAGCGGUGAAAUCUGGUCGCUUAACGAUCACACUGCCGUUGAAACUGGGAGCCUUGAGUAUAGAUGAAGUAGGCGGAAUUCGUUGUGUAGCGGUGACAUGCUUAGAUAUAACGAGGAACUCCGAUUGCGUAGGCAGCUUACUAAACUAUAACUGACGCUCAAGCACGAAAGCGUGGGUAUCAAACAGGAUUAGAUACCCUGGUAGUCCACGCCGUAAACGAUGAUUACUAGUUGUUUGUGAUAUAUAAUAAGUGACUAAGCGAAAGCGAUAAGUAAUCCACCUGGGGAGUACGCUGGCAACAGUGAA